UCCAUGAUUGCUUCAUCUUUAUUCAUAAUAUCAAACAUAGGCAAACACAACCAUAACUGUAACCCCCCCUACCCCUACCAACAUUUUAUUGAACUAUAACUAACAUAGGAUAACUAGUUGGCCUCUUAAAACAGACAAAGGCCAGACCCCAAACCAAACCAAACUGCUAAACAACAAAGCAGACAUCAUUGAAAAGAUCCCAUCCCCAGAUUGCAUCAUUUUCAAUUCUUAGAAAGGAGGAGCAUAGAGCUGGAGAACCUUCUGCCAGGACGGUCUGCUGCUAAUAUCAUCCCACCAAGCACUCACAUGCUUCCUGCUGGUUAUCAUGUAUUCCUUUCCCAUUUGACCCACCAAGUACUGAGUAAAUGGCAGGUGGCUCAGGUCAGCAAGGCUGAAGAAAUCACCGGCCAAGUACUUGUUCUUUGACAGCCUCUCCUCAUAAAUAUCCAGAACUUUGCCUAGCUUUUCCUCGCUUUCCUUGAUCAAAUUUUCAUCAGGAGGGAACCCCAUCUUGGAAGCAAACAUCAAAUGUAGGGUCAAGGCGUAAAUUGGUGGGUUGAAAUUGUGUGCCUCAACCUCUAGCCAAUUUUCCACUUGACCCCUUUCCUCUACUGUCUUUCCCAGUAGAUCAGUCCCUUGUGAUUUGUAUUUUUCUGCAUAGUACCUUAUGAUUGCACGA
rnacentral:lncRNA from 1 species